CCAAACCCGGCAGUCACAGACUGCGAUCAUGUGCAUGUCAGUGUCUUAUACAUCUAGAGGAGUUUCAGCAGGGGCUGUUACUGAGUUAUUGUGACGACUUUUGUGAGUUAGCACGACAGGAAAGGACAGAAGUUUUCCAAGACUAUGCCCUCCUUGCUGCUAAAGUUCUUUCAUCAACGGGAAGUUUUUCAGGGGAGAAAAAUGUCACUUCAUCAGAGCAAGAUAUUCCGG